UCACUUUUCCAAAUACUCAUUUAACAAUGCUUUGGUACAAAACAGUUUGGUUAUUCUUGGCUUUCUAAAGAGUCUGAUCAUACUUCAAAUUUUAAGCAAUGAUUUACGAACACUUCUGCAGAAUAGCAUUUUAAGAACGUCUAUUUGACAAAAUUUCGAAGUUACUGAGACAUCUCGAAGCAAGAAAAUGGAUGUAGUGUUAUAAUUAAUUCGAAUUAUUGCAGCUACAGUGGCCUGAAAUGAGCAGUCUUGCCAUAGAGUUGACAUUGAUGAUAUCAAUCUGCAUUACAAAACAAGCACAAAACUGACCCAUCAGUACCUGAUACUUUCGCCUUUUCCAUAUUUGGCAGAGUUAUGUAUAUCACAGGCACGGAAGUAUUACAGACGACCAAGACGCCGGCUUGCAUUAUUUAAUUGUAAGACGGGAGUUCUACGAAAGGCUUUAUAAUUGGUACAAAGGUUGGGCGUCUAGAGAAGAAUCAAAAUUUCAUCCAACUCGAGACGCAUUAACUUCUCUUUGAA